rnacentral:tRNA from 3 species
GGCUUUAUAGUCAACAAUGACAUUAGACUGCAAUUCUAAAGGAGUAAAAAUUUACUAAGGCUU